rnacentral:rRNA from 1 species
AUUGAACGCUGGCGGCAUGCCUUACACAUGCAAGUCGAACGGUAACAGGUCUUCGGAUGCUGACGAGUGGCGAACGGGUGAGUAAUACAUCGGAACGUGCCCGAGAGUGGGGGAUAACGAGGCGAAAGCUUUGCUAAUACCGCAUACGAUCUCAGGAUGAAAGCAGGGGACCGCAAGGCCUUGCGCUCACGGAGCGGCCGAUGGCAGAUUAGGUAGUUGGUGGGAUAGAAGCUUACCAAGCCGACGAUCUGUAGCUGGUCUGAGAGGACGACCAGCCACACUGGGACUGAGAAACGGCCCAGACUCCUACGGGAGGCAGCAGUGGGGAAUUUUGGACAAUGGGCGCAAGCCUGAUCCAGCCAUGCCGCGUGCAGGAUGAAGGCCUUCGGGUUGUAAACUACUUUUGUACGGAACGAAAAGACUCUGGUUAAUACCUGGGGUCCAUGACGGUACCGUAAGAAUAAGCACCGGCUAACUACGUGCCAGCCGCCGCAGUAAUAC